UGGUGAAAAUUUUUGCUCCAUGUCGUGGGAAUGGACAAUCUUAGGACAAUGUUGCUGCUUUUUUGCUUCUGAUUUCGAUCUUGUGUUGUUUGUUUGGAAGGGCAGAAACAAGAGAUGAAGUUCAACAAAUCUCUUACAGACAAUGAAUGGUUGGAAAGAAGCAAAGAAUCAUCAAGAACAAAUCAAAAUUUUGCACAGUGUGAAGGCAAACCAGUCCCAUGAUUCACUAUUACAAUCUCAGAAACUUCGCAUUUCAGCACAUCUUGCCCUAGCUUGGCUCCAGCGGACUUGAGGCCCUUCAAUGACACUGGUUGAUUGAAUAGGUUCAAUGAUGGCAAUCUCGAAGCUGCUGGCAAUUUCCCAUUGGGGAAUGAAGAAGGCAGUAACGUAAAUGGAGUAAGUUACCUUAGAUGAAGAUCUUCUCCAGUUGCAAAGGUGAAAGGGGUUUCAAUGAAAAGUGUCUUCACUAGCUCUGCGGAUAAGAACCAAGAGCUAGAGAGAAAGUCGACCUGCACAAUUUUAUUGACGGUGAUGUCAUAAGCAGGAUCAGGCAAGUAAAGCCCUGCCUCCUUGGAACGGAACUUUCGAUAACUCGGGAACGUGAAAUCCUUCUGUCGAAAUGGUAAAAUUCUUCCUAUGCUACCUAAAACUGCAUUCUUGUACUUGUCAGUCCCUGCUACAUGAGAUAAAAUCUGUAGCAUUUUACGACCAGGAAUCAUAUCAUCAUCAAGAAUAUAUACUAAAUCGGCUUCGGUUUGUAAGGCCAUUUGGAACCUUCCGUAGUACUUGAAGUCAUAGCUUGAGCUAAUGAAGCUAAUUUUCGAGUUGUUAUAGCUAUCUACAAUUCUUUUCAAAGAGAGCUCAUUUGGACUCCCAAAUGCAAGCACCCAAACAUGGUGGAAAGGAAGGGUUUGAUGAAGCAAAGAAUUCAGCUGUGCACACAAAGUUUUUCUCUUGAAAUGGUUCAAGAUCACUGUAACUUUUGGCUUCUUUGGCCCUUUCAAAUCCCACUUAGAUUUCAUUGCCAUUAGCUGAGGAAGAGUUUCAGUUCCAAAGCUUUUGCUUUGAAAAUCUAGAAUCUCGUUAUAAAGCUCUGUUUUCAACUUUAUCAUCUGCCCAUCGUUGGACUUCUUUUGUUCAAAAUCAAUCUUCUCGUUCUCACAAGCUUCCUCAGGAGUGAUCGGUCUUAAUUCUGCUUGCAUCAUCAUAGAAGUCGGUUCUUGGUAUCGACCCACAACAUGUGGGGGUAUUACGAACUGUGUCCAUUGUUGAGCAAUUCUUGUAGCCCAAGAGAAAUCCGGCUUGGUUCUCAAGUCUAUUGCAGGACUGACAUAAUACAAAAGAAACGUUGCAUAUAAUGCAAAGGCAAACUGAAGACAUGUGAGACCAGCAACAAUCUUUGUUGAAGAACUUCUUUGGGGUCUUAGCUUUCCCUUCCCUCCGACGUAAUCAUUGAUCAUCCCUUCUAAACAAUCCCCGUUUCCCAUUGCGGAAUUUCGAAAUUUACCCAUCUUCAUCUCGACACAACCUGAAAAACCAACACAAGUCACACAACCACACAUGAGACAUGUCCUUUUGAAAUGAUACUCAGACGAAGGUAAGAAAAAUAUAAAAUUUUCACCUUAAAACUUUCUGAAGCGGGGUGAAAACUAUAACUUCCAGCUGAGAAAUUCUGUGACAGAGAAAUUGGAAUGAGAAAGGGGUUCUGUGAAGGAAGUUGAGAGAUGAAUCAGAAGAGAGAGGGGAGGAAUUAGGAGACUUAAAAAGAGCAGAAAGUUUUGAGUUAGUGUAUAAAAGAGAAAAGAAAGGUGUGAGAUAUGAUAAAAAGAGAGUUUGUAUCUGAAGAAAUGCAAUCAAUAUCACAUGGGGGUUGACACUUAAAACAAUAGUAUUAGAGUUUUUCUAUAACAAACAGUGUGAAGAAACACAUUACCCUCAAUGCCUUUUUGUCUUACAAUGUGAAAAGCCUUGAAGAUAAACAACACUUUAAAUACAAGGCCCCGGAUUUGAAGCCUUAGAAGAUGGCCAUCUCCCCUGCGUUUUGGCACUUCUCUACUCUUUUCUCUCUCUCUCUCUAGAAAGUAAUUUAAAAUAUCUUUACCCGCCAAAGGAGUUUCAUCCUAUCUUUUGUUUUUUUGUUCAACUGUAGGUAGAAGUGGGGUGAUGAACUUUUAACCGGUUGGUUGAGGACCUAUGCUUUAGGUUGAGGUAUACUGAAAGAGCUAAAUGUCACCGUUCUAAAUUAUUGAAUUGUAAAAAACUCGUAAAAGAGCUAAAUGUUACCGUUUUAAAUUAUUGAAUUGUAUAAGACUCGUAAAUGUAAAGUAUAUGAAGUUUUAUAAAAUAUUAAUCUUUGUUUAAA